GGAAGUAAAAGUCGUAACAGGGUUUCCGUAGGUGAACCUGCGGAAGGAUCAUUAAAGUUAUAGUCCCCCGGCCCCUCCGGGCUGGGGUCUUCUAUACCACCCUUUGUUUAUUACACCUUUGUUGCUUUGGCAGGCCUGCCCUCGGGCUGCUGGCUCCGGCCGGCUCGUGCCUGCCAGAGGACCUAAACUCUGUUUGUAUAUGAAGUCUGAGUACUAUAUAAUAGUUAAAACUUUCAACAACGGAUCUCUUGGUUCUG
rnacentral:misc_RNA from 1 species